rnacentral:rRNA from 1 species
GAUGAACGCUAGCGGCAGGCUUAACACAUGCAAGUCGAGGGGUAACAUUGGUGCUUGCAUCAGAUGACGACCGGCGCACGGGUGCGUAACGCGUAUAGAACCUACCUUUAUCAGAGGGAUAGCCCAGAGAAAUUUGGAUUAAUACCUCAUAGUAUCUUAGAGUUGCAUAAUUUUAAGAUUAAAGAUUUAUCGGAUAGAGAUGGCUAUGCGUCAUAUUAGCUAGUUGGUAGAGUAACGGUUUACCAAGGCUACGAUAUGUAGGGGUCCUGAGAGGGAGAUCCCCCACACUGGUACUGAGACACGGACCAGACUCCUACGGGAGGCAGCAGUGAGGAAUAUUGGACAAUGGAGGCAACUCUGAUCCAGCCAUGCCGCGUGUAGGAAGACUGCCCUAUGGGUUGUAAACUACUUUUGUAUAGGAAGAAAUAGUGUUACGCGUAAUGCUUUGACGGUACUAUAAGAAUAAGGAUCGGCUAACUCCG